ACGGUGUGCAAUUAUUUAUUUAUGUUUUUGUUAUAAUGCCCACCGUUUUUAUUUGCAUGCCCACCGUUAUUAUUAUUUUUUUACUGCCGUUUAUGAAAUAAAUAUGAACUAAUGCCACAAUUAUUCAUGUCUGCGAUCAUCACAGAGUCCACAAGCAACGCAGGUCGCAAUCAAAGAUGCCACAAUCAAUCUAGCGCACCGUCGAAUUCUGCGCCCACACGGUAAAUGCGUGAGGAAAGUGAGGCAAACCCCAACCAAAUGUUUUCAGGUAAUUUGUCGUCCUCAUAUCUGUAUGUGCACACAAUUAUUCAUGUCUGCGAUCAUCAGAGUCCACAAGCAGCAGGUCGCAAUCCCCGAUGGGUCACAAUUCAUGAUAGCAGACCGUCGAAAUCUGCGACCACACUGUAAAUGCGGGGAAAAUGAGUCAAACCCCAACCAAAUGUUUUCAGGUCAUUUGUCGUCCUCAUAUCUGUAUGUGCACACAAUUAUUCAUGUCUGCGAUCAUCAGAGUCCACAAGCAGCAGGUCGCAAUCCCCGAUGGGUCACAAUUCAUGACAGCAGACCGUCGAAAUCUGCGACCACACUGUAAAUGCGGGGAAAAUGAGUCAAACCCCAACCAAAUGUUUUAAGGUCUUUUGUCGCUCUCAUAUCUGUAUGUGCAGACAAUUAUUCAUGUCUGCGAUCAUCACAGAGUCCACAAGCAGCAGGGGUCUCAUUUAUAACCGUUGCGUACGCACAAAACGGGGCUGAAAGUUGCGUACGUGACUUUUCACGCCAAGGUUGUGAUCUAUAAAAAACCAACUUGACGGGAAAAUGUGCGCAGCGCUAAGCAAACUCUGACCCAUGCGUACGCAUGGUUUGGAUGAAAAGGAGAAUUGGUGACAGACGGUGUGGUGGUGAACUGAAGUCAGUCCGAAGAAUUGCAGAGUGAGAAGAACGAUUAUG
ensembl:lncRNA